rnacentral:rRNA from 1 species
UACGGAGGAUCCAAGCGUUAUCCGGAUUUAUUGGGUUUAAAGGGUGCGUAGGCGGAAUGAUAAGUCAGUGGUGAAAGCCUGCAGCUUAACUGCAGAACUGCCAUUGAUACUGUCAAUCUUGAGUACAUUUGAUGUGGGCGGAAUGUGUCAUGUAGCGGUGAAAUGCUUAGAUAUGACACAGAACACCGAUUGCGAAAGGCAGCUCACAAACUGUAA